rnacentral:rRNA from 1 species
GUAACACGUGGGUGAUCUGCCUCGCACUUCGGGAUAAGCCUGGGAAACUGGGUCUAAUACCGGAUAUGACCUUUCAGUGCAUGCUGUUGGGUGGAAAGAUUUAUCGGUGCGAGAUGGGCCCGCGGCCUAUCAGCUUGUUGGCGGGGUAACGGCCCACCAAGGCGACGACGGGUAGCCGACCUGAGAGGGUGACCGGCCACACUGGGACUGAGACACGGCCCAGACUCCUACGGGAGGCAGCAGUGGGGAAUAUUGCACAAUGGGCGGAAGCCUGAUGCAGCGACGCCGCGUGAGGGAUGACGGCCUUCGGGUUGUAAACCUCUUUCGACAGGGACGAAGCGCAAGUGACGGUACCUGUAGAAGAAGCACCGGCCAACUACGUGCCAGCAGCCGCGGUAAUACGUAGGGUGCGAGCGUUGUCCGGAAUUACUGGGCGUAAAGAGCUUGUAGGCGGUUUGUCGCGUCGUCCGUGAAAACUUGGGGCUCAACCCCAAGCUUGCGGGCGAUACGGGCAGACUUGAGUACUUCAGGGGAGACUGGAAUUCCUGGUGUAGCGGUGAAAUGCGCAGAUAUCAGGAGGAACACCGGUGGCGAAGGCGGGUCUCUGGGAAGUAACUGACGCUGAGAAGCGAAAGCGUGGGUAGCGAACAGGAUUAGAUACCCUGGUAGUCCACGCCGUAAACGGUGGGUACUAGGUGUGGGUUUCCUUCCACGGGAUCCGUGCCGUAGCUAACGCAUUAAGUACCCCGCCUGGGGAGUACGGCCGCAAGGCUAAAACUCAAAGGAAUUGACGGGGGCCCGCACAAGCGGCGGAGCAUGUGGAUUAAUUCGAUGCAACGCGAAGAACCUUACCUGGGUUUGACAUACACCGGAAACCUGCAGAGAUGUAGGCCCCCUUGUGGUCGGUGUACAGGUGGUGCAUGGCUGUCGUCAGCUCGUGUCGUGAGAUGUUGGGUUAAGUCCCGCAACGAGCGCAACCCUUGUCCUGUGUUGCCAGCGCGUAAUGGCGGGGACUCGCAGGAGACUGCCGGGGUCAACUCGGAGGAAGGUGGGGACGACGUCAAGUCAUCAUGCCCCUUAUGUCCAGGGCUUCACACAUGCUACAAUGGCCGGUACAGAGGGCUGCGAUACCGUGAGGUGGAGCGAAUCCCUUAAAGCCGGUCUCAGUUCGGAUCGGGGUCUGCAACUCGACCCCGUGAAGUUGGAGUCGCUAGUAAUCGCAGAUCAGCAACGCUGCGGUGAAUACGUUCCCGGGCCUUGUACACACCGCCCGUCACGUCAUGAAAGUCGGUAACACCCGAAGCCGGUGGCCUCACCCCU